rnacentral:rRNA from 1 species
AUUGAACGCUGGCGGCAGGCCUAACACAUGCUAGUCGAACGAGUGGCGGACGGGUGAGUAAUGUCUGGGAAACUGCCUGAUGGAGGGGGAUAACUACUGGUAACGGUAGCUACUACUGCAUACCAUCAGAUGUGCCCAGAUGGGAUUAGCUGGUGGGUGGGGUAACGGCUCACCAAGGCGAUGAUCCCUAGCUGGUCUGAGAGGGUGACAAGCCACACUGGAACUGAGAAACGGUCCGGACUCCUACGGGAGGCAGCAGUGGGGAAUAUGGGACAAUGGGCGCAAGCCUGAUGCAGCCAUGCAGCGUGUAUGAAGAGGGCCUUCGGGUUGUAAAGUACUUUCAGCGGGGAGGCGUUACCCGCAGAAGAAGCACCGGCUAACUCCGUGCCAGCAGCCGCGGUAAUUC